GUUGCGGAAUUUGUUCCCAGAAAAACAUGGUAAAUACGUUAUUAAAACAUUUUCGAAGAAACGUAUUUAUUUCAUUUUAAAACGUUUGGGAUGUCAUCGUUAAUACCGAAACAUAAGCAUAAACAGAACUUACAAUGAUUUACACUAGUGAUAUAUAUCUCUUUAAAUCUCUCAGUGUAAUGUCACUUCACUUCGUCACCUGUGAUAUACAUAAACUGAGUGGGUCAGGUUGGGAAACCUGGUGAGUACAUAGGGUUUUCAACCCACAAUAAUAUAAUUAUUAUGUUCAAUCAAACAAUCAACCCAAUUACCCAUCCCCAUUAUCUUCUUUACUCUUUAAGGAUUUAACCUAAGAGUCAUCUAUCCUGCAUUCGUUUAUUCCGAAGUCCCUUACUUCCAGGGUUAUGGGACUGGCACUAAAUCCAUAGCUGCCAAUGUUCGUUCAUAAAGCACUAAUUCCAUAGCUGCUAUAGUCUAUUCAUCGGGUACUAAAUCCAUAGCUACCAGUCUUUAUCUAAUAGGUACUAAGUCCAUAGCUACCAAUGUUCAACAGGUACUAAGUCCAUAGCUACCAAUUCCUACAGGUACUAAAUCCUUAGCUACCAGCGUCUAACUAAUAGGUACUAAGUCCAUAGCUACCAAUUCCCAACAGGUACUAAAUCCAUAGCUACCAACGUCUAAAAGGUACUAAGUCCAUAGCUACCGGUGUUUGUCCCAUAGGCACUAAGUCUAUAGCUGCCAAUGUAUACUCACGUCAUCUUCUAUCUCUCAUCAUUCAUCUACCCAUCUCAUACCCAACAUUUUCGUAUAUAUAAAAUACGUAUACAGUUUAAGUCCUUUAAAACAUGUAUAAAACGUUCAACCAGCAUAGACAGCAAGUAUUCAGAUAAUGUGCACACAUAGCACGUAGUUUAUAUAAAAUACUUCAUAUCUAUGUGUAAGAUGAAAGGGACUAUGCACUCACUUGAAAGGUGGUGAGUCGGCACUCGGACAGCACUUCGUUACUCUUAAAACAAUUAUCCCUUGACGAAACCUAGUAUCAUUACCACUAGAGUUUAGUCUAACGCUUGACGAGACUAAUUUAAUAGUCUAGCUAUUAUUACUAUUAUAUAAGCGUUAAAUAACACUCAAUAUAACUCAUAAUAAUAGCCUAAAUAAUUAUUUUAAGGUCCUAACAAUGUUACUAUAAUUAAAUAAAAUCUAUAUUAAAUAUACUAUAGGCGUAGCUCACUUACAGCGGGUUUUUAUUAAAAACCGGGCUUCGCUGGAGCAGCGUUUCCGAGCCGAAAGCUUUUCUUCUCGGAGCCGUCGGGCGCUCCGGGGCUUUCUUCUCGUGCUAGGGAGGUUCCGUAGACUUGGGAGGGGUUUAGGGAGGCUAGAGAGAAGUUAGAGAGAGAAAGAAAGGCUUAUGGUGUGAAGAAAAUAUGAGGAGUUCACCCUUGUAUUUAUAGGAAGUGUAUAGUAAAGUAGUCUCCAAGCUUCGUCCGUAACUUUUGCAUACGAGCUCCGUUUUUGUCUGUCUUUUUACUGUUGAGUUCCUAUUAAUGAGAUCUUCAACUUUCAUUUAGACCUCGUUGGCUAAUUCUCAUUCUAUCUCGGAUUUACAAAACUGUAUCAAAUUCGCCGCGCUCGAAAAGUAGGGACUAAGCUUCGUCCAUAACUUUCGCAUACGAGCUCCAUUUUUGUCUGUCUUUUUACCGUUGAGUUCCUAUUAAUGAGAUCUUCAACUCUCAUUUAGACCUCGUUGGCUAAUUCUCAUUCUAUCUCGUAUUUACAAAACUGUAUCGAAUUCGCCGCGCUCGAAAAGUAGGGACUAAGCUUCGUCCAUAACUUUUGCAUACGAGCUCUAUUAUCGACGUUCUUUAUAUCCACGCGUUGGUAUUUACGAGUACUACAACUUUCAUUUAGAUCCCGUCGGCUAAAAAUCGACCGAUCUAAAAUUCAGAUUUCGGGCUGUGCACUGCUAUGCUAAAUCUUAGAAAAAUCAUAACUUCCUCAUACGAAGUCAGAUUUGGGCGUUCUUUUUAUCGAUGUUCUUAGUUUAACAUAUUCUACGACUUUCGUUUAGAUCGCUAAGGCUAAAUCUCGCUCUAUCGUAAAUUCACUAUUUACGCUUCCCGGUAUCGUGCCGGUUCCGUCGCGAAACUUCAACGGGUCAUAACUUCUUCGUUAUAACUCGGUUUUCGGCGUUCUUUAUAUGUACGAAAACCUUGUAACAUACUCUACAACUUGAUUAAGAUUAUUUAUUCUAAAUAAUCUUUUGUCGAAAAGUCGUUUUCGACCCCUAUUGCCUCUAAUUUGACUAGCCCAGAUUUGCGGGCGUUACAAUUAUCUCCCCCUUAGGAUGAUUACGUCCCGGAAUCAUCAACGAAACAGGGUCGUAUAAUGACUCCAUACGUCAUCUCUUCAUCCUAGGUAAUAAUUAUAACUUCUACAUUCCUUCAAUUCUAUCUCUUAAACUCAUUGACUGUAAGAGUACUCGAUCGUGCACCUGCUCUCUACCUCAGGUUAGACUCCAAAUUAUGACCUUCAAGUCACAAUCUCGAUCCUUGCUGGAUACGGACUUGAGAUAAGUUCUUUUAUUACUACUAUAGAUCGAUGUGUCAUAUUCUAAUGACCUAUCAUCGUAUGUUGCAACACUUAGACUUAGGUCUCUUAGAGUUAAAUUCUAAAACAGACUAUGCCUUCCUUCAUGUUCUAAUGUGAUAUAAUCACACUUUAACAUUAGGCAUUUCUAGCCACCAACUUCUUUAACAACGAGUGCGAUACUUCUAUUGAUCGCUUUGAUUUCAACCGUUUGGUUUAAGUCGGACGCUACAUCAAACUUGGUUCUCUGAACCACACAACAUACUCAUCGUAGUCGGACUCGAUUCGAUAUGACCACUAGGGUCGGAAUAUCAACAAUCUUCUUAGUCAUUACCGAAACGAUGGUAACAACACACUUGAAUAAAACGAAAUCAAUUACUAGCUUCUUGGUAACCUUGUGACUUUCCCUGAUCCAAGUGUGAGUCCUGUGCUUCCGGUAGUAUAGGCCUCUACUACCAUUCACACCUACUCAUACUCGUCCCAAGUAUUGUCUCGCAGUUUCCCAAGUCACCAUGCAGCGAAUCAACUUAACACAUCAGAUAACGAAACAAAGGUUUUAUAUUAUUUCUUGAAAUGAUUACAUAGGUGUUCAAGUUCACCCUAGGCUAUGCCUCUAAUAGGCUACAUCAUACAAUACUAUGGCUACUGCAUAACUUGAUCUUCGGAUAUGAAGUCCUCAUCCUUGAUUCCUCGCACGGUUUUCUGCUUCGUCGAGGAUCAUGUGAAAUGCCCUUGGUUUCGGCGGUGCAUUUGGUCUUGCAGCUUCGUUUUUCUUUGGACAGUUCUUUGAAAUAUGCCCAUCAUUUCCACAUUCGUAGCACUUCUUGUUUUCGAAUGUACAAUCUCUGGAAUAGUGACCGGUCCUACCACACUUAUAGCACGUCACUUCACCAUCGCAUCUUCCGAAGUGUUUCUUCUUGCACUUCUCACACCACUUGGCUUCAUUCCUUCGGUCGUCCAGGUUAGACUUCGAGAACUUUCCCUUAUUAUCAGGUCUUGAGGAUCCUUCCGACUUCCUCUUCUCACCAACUUCAACUUUCUCCAGACCCUUUUCCCUUAUUUGGGUCUCAACAUUCUUGGCUGCCCAGAUGGCGGCUUUCAAAGUGGUUGCUUGUUUGACCAUUGGACCAAAGUCUGCUGGUAAUCCAUGGGCAAACUUAUUGACCUUGGAGAGUUCAGUUGGAACUAGAUAAGGAACAAGCUUCAUUUUCUCCGUAAAACUUGCAGCAUACUCGAUGACACUCAUCUUUCCCUUCUUUAGAUUCUGAAACUCGUUGUUGAUUUCCAGAAGAUCCUGUUCAGAGCAGUACUGCAUUUUUAGCUGCACCAGAAAAUCCUCCCAUGACAUCUUGUUCGCUUCUCCUUUGGGCAUCGAAUCAGCUAGUAGCUUCCACCAGCUUAGUACUCCAGAUUUCAACAGAGGAACCGCGAGAGCGGUCUUUUGCCUGUUGCUACACUCACAACUCUCAAACAUCGUCUCCAUCUCGGAGAUCCAGUUUAUGACUUCCACCGGCGUCGGGCUUCCAGAUAGACUCGGUGGUUUGGACGCCAUGAAAUCCUUGUAUUUGCAUCCACGUCCAUCAUUUCCUCCAUCCUGGUGGUUUUGCUUAACCAUUGGUGGGUUGGCUUGACCAACAGUCCCACUGUAGUUUCCCUCCUCAGUCUGCCCCUCGUUCAACUCGGGCCGUUCGAUCUGAAUGGUCGCUUCCUCUCGAUUUUGCUGGAGCAAACGCCUGGUUUCCUCCAUUUGACGAUCCAACAUCGCUUGGAUCAUCGCUUGCACUCCGGCCAUUGUGACUGGCUCAGCAGUGGCUUCCAUCACCGGUAUUUGCUCAAUCACUGGGGGUUGGUUUCUGUUCCCAUUUGCAUUUACGUUUCCGCUACGGGUUCUUACCAUCUUGAUCUAUACACCUAAUGAGGUGAAUCUAGACCUUUACUUAGGAUUGACGUUUAAAUCAUCCUUAUCACUCCGAAACGUUUACAUGCUAGUUCUAAUAUCGUAGUCGUACGUUUAGAAUCCUAAACACAUAAGGUUUCCAGAUCCGGUCGGCAACAGACCAUAGAUCCGAUCAAACUAUAGCAUAACAAAUCAUUUAGCACAUAAAAGCAAUUUAGGCAUCAUUCCUAAAAUAAGCUAGUGCUCACACCUCACAAUCAUCGCUUAGCAUUCUAAGUUUAAGUCUAGAAAUAAAUCCAUAUUCCUAGUUCGCUUAAACUAAUGCUCUGAUACCAACUGUGACAUCCCCAAAAUCACGGCCAGAAAAGACCGAUUUUGUUUAUGCUUUAUAAAAAUCAGAGUACUUCAUUUUAUAAAAAUGUUGCGGAAUUUGUUCCCAGAAAAACACGAUAAAUACGUUAUUAAAACAUUUUCGAAGAAACGUAUUUAUUUCAUUUUAAAACGUUUGGGAUGUCAUUGUUAAUACAGAAACAUAAGCAUAAACAGAACUUACAAUUAUUUACACUAGUGAUCUACAUCUCUUUAAAUCUCUCAGUGUAAUGUCACUUCAUAUCGUCACCUGUGAUGUAAAUAAACUGAGUGGGUCAGGUUGGGAAACCUGGUGAGUACAUAGGGUUUUCAACCC
rnacentral:lncRNA from 1 species